AGCUUUAUUGUAGAGCGACCAGAGGCAUUCAGAAUUAAGAGACAUGCUAUAUUCGAUUUAGAAACCUUUGCAAACUUCCAAUCCUCAAGCACUUUAACUUCUGGCAUCACCAGUAUAGUCACGGCAGGUUUCUAUUUAUGAAACAAAAUGCAUAUAUUUAUCCGGUUUUUCUGUAUUUCAUGCGGCCUUACACGGACAAACAGGUUUCUUUAUUUUAUGAGAAUCUAUCGGUCUUUUGUCGCCAGAAAAGUGAUAAAAAAUAUACGCAAUAUUUAUUUGAUUAAAGGUUUUUCAUUUCGUGAAAAUAAUAAGUGCAUGUCAAUAUAAUUCAAGUGAAAUGAAACAAACGAAUUUAUCAAAGAAAGUUCUUUUUUGAUUUGAUUAUUAUAAAAAAGUUUCUAGUGAUAUUUUGGGGGAAAAUUCUUUUUCAUAUAAAGAUUUACAUUUUGAAAUAGCUCCACGUUAUACAGAAUAGAGAACAUGUGUUCUUCACUGCUUUUGAUGAUAGAUCUAUACACAACUGCGGAGAGCGAGGUUCACGACAAGGUGAGGAAUCGAGAAUUUUUAUGCUGCAAGGUAAAAGAAGAAAGAGGUCAUAGUUAAAACAUUCGCCAUGUGCGUGGGAUGGCCAAGGGCCACAAGGCUAAACGUGUCGAAAACCGUGUCGAACGUACAAAAGGAACGCAUACUGUGAGACGAACUGGUUGCCUUGUGAUACCAUGGAUCUCGGAUUGCGCGCCCCGAUGCAAACGGAGUCACUGAACACAAAGGAUAGGGCUAACGAAGUAAAUAUCUUCCAGGAGGUGGUUAAAUUCAGUUCUUCCUGAGCUAGAGGUUUCACCUACAGGAGCUGAAAUAACAAAAAAAAAAUUGUUUAUAAUUUCUUUAUUAAUUUA